rnacentral:rRNA from 1 species
AUUGAACGCUGGCGGCAGGCCUAACACAUGAAAGUCGAGCGGAGCGUAGGACGGGUGAGUAAUGCCUAGGCAUCUGCCUGGUAGUGGGGGAUAACGUCCAGAAACGGGCGGUAAUACCGCAUACUUACCGAUCAGCCUAGUUCGGAUUAGCUCGUUGGUGGGGUAAAGGCCUACCAAGGCGACGAUCCGUAACUGGUCUGAGAGGAUGAUCAUUCACACCGGAACUGAGACACGGUCCCGACUCCUACGGGAGGCAGCAGUGGGGAAUGUUGGAAAAUGUGCGAAAGCCUGAUCCAGCCAUGCCGCGUGUGUGAAGAAGGUCUUCGGAUUUUAAAGCACUUUAAGUUGGGAGGCGUUACCAACAGAAUAAGCACCGGCUAACUUCGUGCCAGCAGCCGCGGUAAUUC